rnacentral:rRNA from 1 species
AUUGAACGCUGGCGGCAGGCCUAACACAUGCAAGUCGAGCGGAUGAAGGGAGCUUGCUCCUGGAUUCAGCGGCGGACGGGUGAGUAAUGCCUAGGAAUCUGCCUGGUAGUGGGGGAUAACGUCCGGAAACGGGCGCUAAUACCGCAUACGUCCUGAGGGAGAAAGUGGGGGAUCCUCGGACCUCACGCUAUCAGAUGAGCCUAGGUCGGAUUAGCUAGUUGGUGGGGUAAAGGCCUACCAAGGCGACGAUCCGUAACUGGUCUGAGAGGAUGAUCAGUCACACUGGAACUGAGACACGGUCCAGACUCCUACGGGAGGCAGCAGUGGGGAAUAUUGGACAAUGGGCGAAAGCCUGAUCCAGCCAUGCCGCGUGUGUGAAGAAGGUCUUCGGAUUGUAAAGCACUUUAAGUUGGGAGGAAGGGCAGUAAGUUAAUACCUUGCUGUUUUGACGGUACCAACAGAAUAAGCACCGGCUAACUUCGUG